GGCUUAGAAGCAGCCAUCCUUUAAAGAAAGCGUAAUAGCUCACUAGUCGAGUCGGUCUGCGCGGAAGAUGUAACGGGGCUAAACUAGUCACCGAAGCUGCGGAUUUGAACUUAGGUUCAAGUGGUAGGGGAGCGUUCUGUAAGCCGUUGAAGGUGUGUUGUAAAGCAUGCUGGAGGUAUCAGAAGUGCGAAUGCUGACAUGAGUAACGAUAAGGGGAGUGAAAAACUCCCCCGCCGAAAGACCAAGGUUUCCUGUCCCAUGUUAAUCAGGGCAGGGUAAGUCGGCCCCUAAGGCGAGGCGGAAACGCGUAGUCGAUGGGAAACAGAUUAAUAUUUCUGUACUUCUAUAUAUUGCGAAGGAGGGACGGAGUAGGCUAAAUGAGCACGGCGUUGGUAGUCCGUGUGAAAGUACGUAGGUGGUUAACUUAGGUAAAUCCGGGUUUUCAUUCAACACUGAGAUACGAGACGAGACUCUACGGAGUUGAAGUCAUUGAUGCCAUGCUUCCAGGAAAAGCUUCUAAGCUUCAGAUAUAUAGGAACCGUACCCCAAACCGACACAGGUGGUUAGGUAGAGAAUACUAAGGCGCUUGAGAGAACUCGGGUGAAGGAACUAGGCAAAAUAGUACCGUAACUUCGGGAGAAGGUACGCUACUCAUGGUGAUGGAACUUGCUUCCUAAGCUAAGAGUAGUCGAAGUAACCAGGUGGCUGGAACUGUUUAUUAAAAACACAGCACUGUGCAAAAUCGAAAGAUGACGUAUACGGUGUGACGCCUGCCCGGUGCCGGAAGGUUAAUUGAUUGGGUUAGCUCUGCGAAGCUCAUGAUCGAAGCCCCGGUAAACGGCGGCCGUAACUAUAACGGUCCUAAGGUAGCGAAAUUCCUUGUCGGGUAAGUUCCGACCUGCACGAAUGGCGUAAUCAUGGCCACACUGUCUCCACCCGAGACUCAGUGAAAUUGAAAUUGCGGUUAAGAUGCCGUAUACCCGCGGCUAGACGGAAAGACCCCGUGAACCUUUACUAUAGCUUGGCACUGAACUUUGAAUCUAUCUGUGCAGGAUAGGUGGGAGGCUUUGAAGCGUGGACGCUAGUCUGCGUGGAGCCACCCUUGAAAUACCACCCUGGUAUAUUUGAGGUUCUAACUCAGGUCCGUUAUCCGGAUCGAGGACAGUGUCUGGUGGGUAGUUUGACUGGGGCGGUCUCCUCCCAAAGAGUAACGGAGGAGCACGAAGGUUGGCUAAGUACGGUCGGACAUCGUACGGUUAGUGCAAUGGCAUAAGCCAGCUUAACUGCGAGACAGACACGUCGAGCAGGUACGAAAGUAGGUCAUAGUGAUCCGGUGGUUCUGUAUGGAAGGGCCAUCGCUCAACGGAUAAAAGGUACU
rnacentral:rRNA from 1 species